UUAGAAAACCCUAAGAAAGAAACAGCUCCGACGCCGGAGUUGAGAUCGUCCAAGAUGCAGAUUUCCGUGAAGACUCUCACCGGAAAGACCAUAACCCUAGAUUUAAGUCAACCGACACCGUUGACAAUGUCAAGGACAAGGAAGGAAUUCCUCCGGACCAGCAAAGACUGAUCUUUGCCGAGACGCAGCCGGAGGAUGGUCGUAAUUUGUCCGAUUACAACAUUCAGAAAGGAUGUCGUGUUCUUGUAUCCAGAAUCAACCCUCCAUCUCGUUCCGAGGCUCCGUCGUGGUAGCCGUCUUUGAUGACUUUGGUGCUACAGAGUAUAACCAGGACAAGAUGAUUUGCCGCAACUGGGGCCAAAGAAGAAACAAGAUUAAGUAGUCUCAAUGUCAGGAAAGGACCCUCGACAUUCACUUAUGUCUGGAAAAUGAUAUGAACCGUCCUGCGAGAUGAUUCCGCGAUGGCAUUUUCUAGCUGAAGCUGUUCAUCGGAAGUGGGUCUCUAUGCGUUUCACCGCCUUUAUUCCUGGUAUCGGAACUGUCACUUUGUGGCAGCCUCCCCUCGCUCUCGAGAUGUUUCCAUUCUCAGGCCAAACUCAUCAAAACAUUCUCAUGUGAAUCAGAAGACCUUGAUGUUUCCGGACAUAAGCAAGAGUCGAGGAAUUUUGCUUGUUUUGAUGGUGGCAAAGAGAACAGACCCUGAAAUUGUCUGAUGAUCUUUCCGAGAAGCUUUUCACUUUGACCAUUAAACCUACCAGUAUCGAAGAUAUUGAUGUCGUUUUCCAUAGCCAAGUCAAAAAGCUUGCUGAAACAUGCCGUCCAUGGAGGUCGGGUAGCCCCAAAGAAGCUCCUCCAUUGCAUGGAAGAUUCUACUUUUUAGCUCUAUAGUAGUUGCAGAUACACAUGCGCAUAUGUAUGUGUGUAUGUUGCUGUUGUUGCGUAUAUGUAUACACACCUUUUGCCAUGGCCAAAAGAAGAGGGAGCUUGACGGGUUUGAAUAAUUGCUUAAAAAAGGGUCAAAUAACGUGUGGAUGAAUGUGUUUGUGGUCGAUCACGUGUUAAAGCCGUCGAUAAGGGUCGAA